rnacentral:rRNA from 1 species
GCAGCCGCCGCGGGAAUACGGAGGAUCCAAGCGUUAUCCGGAAUCAUUGGGUUUAAAGGGUCCGUAGGCGGUCUUGUAAGUCAGUGGUGAAAGCCCAUCGCUCAACGGUGGAACGGCCAUUGAUACUGCAGGACUUGAAUUAUUGGGAAGUAACUAGAAUAUGUAGUGUAGCGGUGAAAUGCUUAGAGAUUACAUGGAAUACCAAUUGCGAAGGCAGGUUACUACCAAUUGAUUGACGCUGAUGGACGAAAGCGUGGGUAGCGAACAGGAUUAGAUACCCCCGUAGUCCCUGUCUCUUAUAU